GACGAACCGAGCGAACGUUGUUCGGAAUCACUGGGCUUAAAGGGCGCGUAGGCGGGCUGCCGCGUCCGGGGUGAAAGCCUCCCGCUCAACGGGAGAACGGCCUCGGAUACGGGCGGCCUCGAGGGGGGUAGGGGCACCUGGAACUGUGGGUGGAGCGGUGAAAUGCGUUGAUAUCCACAGGAACUCCGGUGGCGAAGGCGAGGUGCUGGACCCCAUCUGACGCUGAGGCGCGAAAGCCAGGGGAGCGAACAGG
rnacentral:rRNA from 1 species